rnacentral:rRNA from 1 species
AGUGAACGCUGGCGGUAGGCCUAACACAUGCAAGUCGAACGGCAGCACAGUAAGAGCUUGCUCUUACGGGUGGCGAGUGGCGGACGGGUGAGGAAUACAUCGGAAUCUACUUUUUCGUGGGGGAUAACGUAGGGAAACUUACGCUAAUACCGCAUACGACCUACGGGUGAAAGCAGGGGAUCUUCGGACCUUGCGCGAUUGAAUGAGCCGAUGUCGGAUUAGCUAGUUGGCGGGGUAAAGGCCCACCAAGGCGACGAUCCGUAGCUGGUCUGAGAGGAUGAUCAGCCACACUGGAACUGAGACACGGUCCAGACUCCUACGGGAGGCAGCAGUGGGGAAUAUUGGACAAUGGGCGCAAGCCUGAUCCAGCCAUACCGCGUGGGUGAAGAAGGCCUUCGGGUUGUAAAGCCCUUUUGUUGGGAAAGAAAGGCAGCAGGUUAAUACCCCGCUGUUCUGACGGUACCCAAAGAAUAAGCACCGGCUAACUUCGU